AUUGAACGCUGGCGGCAUGCUUUACACAUGCAAGUCGAACGGUAACAGGCCGCAAGGUGCUGACGAGUGGCGAACGGGUGAGUAAUGCAUCGGAACGUGCCCAGUCGUGGGGGAUAACGCAGCGAAAGCUGUGCUAAUACCGCAUACGAUCUAUGGAUGAAAGCGGGGGACCGUAAGGCCUCGCGCGAUUGGAGCGGCCGAUGUCAGAUUAGGUAGUUGGUGGGGUAAAGGCACACCAAGCCAACGAUCUGUAGCUGGUCUGAGAGGACGACCAGCCACACUGGGACUGAGACACGGCCCAGACUCCUACGGGAGUCAGCAGUGGGGAAUUUUGGACAAUGGGCGCAAGCCUGAUCCAGCCAUGCCGCGUGCAGGAAGAAGGCCUUCGGGUUGUAAACUGCUUUUGUACGGAACGAAAAGGUUUGGGUUAAUACCCUGGGCCGAUGACGGUACCGUAAGAAUAAGCACCGGCUAACUACGUGCCAGCCGCCGCCGUAA
rnacentral:rRNA from 1 species